AACGAACGCUGGCGGCAGGCCUAACACAUGCAAGUCGAGCGAGGACUUCGGUUCUAGCGGCGGACGGGGGAGUAACGCGUGGGAAUGUGCCCUUCUCUACGGAAUAGCCCUGGGAAACUGGGAGUAAUACCGUAUACGCCCUAAUGGGGAAAGAUUUAUCGGAGAAGGAUCAGCCCGCGUUGGAUUAGGUAGUUGGUGGGGUAAUGGCCUACCAAGCCGACGAUCCAUAGCUGGUUGGAGAGGAUGAUCAGCCACACUGGGACUGAGACACGGCCCAGACUCCUACGGGAGGCAGCAGUAGGGAAUCUUAGACAAUGGGGGCAACCCUGAUCUAGCCAUGCCGGGUGAGUGAUGAAGGCCUUAGGGUUGUAAAGCUCUUUCAGCUGGGAAGAUAAUGACGGUACCAGCAGAAGAAGCCCCGGCUAACUCCGUG
rnacentral:rRNA from 1 species